CUUGGUGUUACUGCGAAGGGGGGACGGAGAAGGCUAUGUUGGCCGGGCGACGGUUGUCCCGGUUUAAGCGUGUAGGCUGGUUUUCCAGGCAAAUCCGGAAAAUCAAGGCUGAGGCGUGACGACGAGGCACUACGGUGCUGAAGCAACAAAUGCCCUGCUUCCAGGAAAAGCCUCUAAGCAUCAGGUAACAUCAAAUCGUACCCCAAACCGACACAGGUGGUCAGGUAGAGAAUACCAAGGCGCUUGAGAGAACUCGGGUGAAGGAACUAGGCAAAAUGGUGCCGUAACUUCGGGAGAAGGCACGCUGACACGUAGGUGAAGUGAUUUACUCAUGGAGCUGAAGUCAGUCGAAGAUACCAGCUGGCUGCAACUGUUUAUUAAAAACACAGCACUGUGCAAACACGAAAGUGGACGUAUACGGUGUGACGCCUGCCCGGUGCCGGAAGGUUAAUUGAUGGGGUCAGCGCAAGCGAAGCUCCUGAUCGAAGCCCCGGUAAACGGCGGCCGUAACUAUAACGGUCCUAAGGUAGCGAAAUUCCUUGUCGGGUAAGUUCCGACCUGCACGAAUGGCGUAAUGAUGGCCAGGCUGUCUCCACCCGAGACUCAGUGAAAUUGAACUCGCUGUGAAGAUGCAGUGUACCCGCGGCAAGACGGAAAGACCCCGUGAACCUUUACUAUAGCUUGACACUGAACAUUGAGCCUUGAUGUGUAGGAUAGGUGGGAGGCUUUGAAGUGUGGACGCCAGUCUGCAUGGAGCCGACCUUGAAAUACCACCCUUUAAUGUUUGAUGUUCUAACGUGGACCCGUAAUCCGGGUUGCGGACAGUGUCUGGUGGGUAGUUUGACUGGGGCGGUCUCCUCCUAAAGAGUAACGGAGGAGCACGAAGGUUGGCUAAUCCUGGUCGGACAUCAGGAGGUUAGUGCAAUGGCAUAAGCCAGCUUGACUGCGAGCGUGACGGCGCGAGCAGGUGCGAAAGCAGGUCAUAGUGAUCCGGUGGUUCUGAAUGGAAGGGCCAUCGCUCAACGGAUAAAAGGUACUCCGGGGAUAACAGGCUGAUACCGCCCAAGAGUUCAUAUCGACGGCGGUGUUUGGCACCUCGAUGUCGGCUCAUCACAUCCUGGGGCUGAAGUAGGUCCCAAGGGUAUGGCUGUUCGCCAUUUAAAGUGGUACGCGAGCUGGGUUUAGAACGUCGUGAGACAGUUCGGUCCCUAUCUGCCGUGGGCGCUGGAGAACUGAGGGGGGCUGCUCCUAGUACGAGAGGACCGGAGUGGACGCAUCACUGGUGUUCGGGUUGUCAUGCCAAUGGCACUGCCCGGUAGCUAAAUGCGGAAGAGAUAAGUGCUGAAAGCAUCUAAGCACGAAACUUGCCCCGAGAUGAGUUCUCCCUGAGACUUAGAGUCUCCUGAAGGAACGUUGAAGACGACGACGUUGAUAGGCCGGGUGUGUAAGCGCAGCGAUGCGUUGAGCUAACCGGUACUAAUGAACCGUGAGGCUUAACC
rnacentral:rRNA from 1 species